ACGCUCGACACCUACUGGAGGCAGCAGUGGGGAAUAUUGCACAAUGGGGGAAACCCUGAUGCAGCGACGCCGCGUGAAGGAAGAAGUAUUUCGGUAUGUAAACUUCUAUCAGCAGGGAAGAAGAUGACGGUACCUGAGUAAGAAGCACCGGCUAAAUACGUGCCAGCAGCCGCGGUAAUCUGAGGCGGGCUGGACGAAGGC
rnacentral:rRNA from 1 species